rnacentral:rRNA from 1 species
CUUUACUGUAACUUGAAAUUGAAAUUGGACUUUAUUUGCGCAGUAUAGGUGGGAGGCGUUGAGCAGAUUCUUGCGGGAAUCUAGGAGCCAUCAGUGAGAUACCACUCUGGUAAUGUUAGGUUUCUAACUUUGGAUCAUGAUCUGGUCAAAGAACAGUUUCAGGCGGGCAGUUUGACUGGGGCGGUCGCCUCCCAAAUGGUAACGGAGGCGUACAAAGGUUUCCUCUGAACGUGUAGAAAUCGUAUCUAGAGUGUAAAGGCAUAAGGAAGCUUGACUGUGAGACCUACAAGUCGAGCAGGGACGAAAGUCGGUCUUAGUGAUCUGACGGUGCUGAGUGGAAAGGCCGUCACUCAACGGAUAAAAGUUA